GUGCCAGCCGCCGCGGUAACCCCAGCGCCACAAGUGGUUAUCACGAUUAUUGGGCCUAAAGCGUUCGUAGCUGGUUUGGUAAAUCUCUUGUGAAAUUGUUCGGCUUAACCGGACAGCGUGCAGGAGACACUGCCAAACUCGAGACCGGGAGGCGUAUGAAGUAUGUCGUGGGGACUGGUAAAAUGGGAUAAUCCACGAUAGACUACCGAUGGCGAAGGCAUCAUACGAGAACGGAUCUGACAGUGAGGAACGAAAGCUAGGGGAGCGAACCGGAUUAGAUACCCCUGUAGUCC
rnacentral:rRNA from 1 species